rnacentral:rRNA from 1 species
GAUGAACGCUGGCGGCGUGCCUAAUACAUGCAAGUCGAGCGAACGGACGAGGAGCUUGCUUCUCUGAUGUUAGCGGCGGACGGGUGAGUAACACGUGGAUAACCUACCUAUAAGACUGGGAUAACUUCGGGAAACCGGAGCUAAUACCGGAUAAUAUUUUGAACCGCAUGGGUCAAAAGUGAAAGACGGUCUUGCUGUCACUUAUAGAUGGAUCCGCGCUGCAUUAGCUAGUUGGUAAGGUAACGGGGUACCAAGGCAACGAUGCGUAGCCGACCUGGGAGGGUGAUCGGCCACACUGGAACUGAGGCACGGUCCAGACUCCUACGGGAGGCAGCAGUAGGGAAUCUUCCGCAAUGGGCGAAAGCUUGACGGAGCAACGCCGCGUGAGUGAUGAAGGUCUUCGGAUCGUAAAACUCUGUUAUUCGGGAAGAACAUAUGUGUAAGUAACUAUGCACAUCUUGACGGUACCUAAUCAGAAAGCCACGGCUAACUACGUG